AAAUGGUGUAUAAUGAUACUUUUAAAUAUCGACAAGUUAAAAAAAAGUGCUGCUGGCUAAAUUACUGACAUUUUUAAAAAAUGUUGCUAUAUGUGGGGUCGCUAGGUAUAUAGUGAUAGUUUAAGAGUGUCGGUAUAACUUAAUAAGAAUGCUGCUAAUUUACCAACACUUACUUAAGCAUUUAGCAACCGCCAGAACACUAUCUCGUUGGCUGCGGUGGUAGAGGAGGAUGAGUGUCACGCCCCGGAUAUCACGUUUCCCAGGCAUGCCGACAAAUUC
rnacentral:lncRNA from 1 species